rnacentral:rRNA from 1 species
GACGAACGCUGGCGGCGUGCUUAACACAUGCAAGUCGAACGAUGAACGCUGGAGCUUGCUCCGGCUGGAUUAGUGGCGAACGGGUGAGUAACACGUGAGUAACCUGCCCUUGACUCUGGGAUAACUGCGGAAAACUGUAGCUAAUACCGGAUACGACCCUCGGCGGCAUCGCCAGGGGGUGGAAAGAAUUUCGGUCAAGGAUGGACUCGCGGCCUAUCAGCUAGUUGGUGAGGUAACGGCUCACCAAGGCGACGACGGGUAGCCGGCCUGAGAGGGUGACCGGCCACACUGGGACUGAGACACGGCCCAGACUCCUACGGGAGGCAGCAGUGGGGAAUAUUGCACAAUGGGCGCAAGCCUGAUGCAGCAACGCCGCGUGAGGGAUGACGGCCUUCGGGUUGUAAACCUCUUUUAGUAGGGAAGAAGCGAAAGUGACGGUACCUGCAGAAAAAGCACCGGCUAACUACGUGCCAGCCGCCGCCGUAA